UUUUUGGAGAGUUUGAUCCUGGCUCAGGACGAACGCUGGCGGCGUGCCUAAUACAUGCAAGUCGAGCGGACCGAAUGGAAGCUUGCUUCUGUUUGGUUA
rnacentral:rRNA from 1 species